GACAGAGGCCUCGAGCGUUAGGCGGAAUCACUGGGCUUAAAGCGUGUGUAGGCGGGCCCGUAAGUGUCUUGUGAAAUCCCACGGCUCAACCGUGGAACUGCUGGGCAUACUGCGGGUCUGGGCCAACUAGGGCAGCCGGAACAAGCGGUGGAGCGGUGAAAUGCGUAGAUAUCUGGAGGAACACCGGUGGCGAAGGCGGCAUCCUGGACCAACAUUGACGCUGAGGAGCGAAAGCCAGGGGAGCAAACGGGG
rnacentral:rRNA from 1 species